UGGGGAAUAUUGCACAAUGGGCGCAAGCCUGAUGCAGCCAUGCCGCGUGUAUGAAGAAGGCCUUCGGGUUGUAAAGUACUUUCAGUCGGGAGGAAGGUGGUAAGGUUAAUAACCUUAUCAAUUGACGUUACCGACAGAAGAAGCACCCGCUAACUCCGUGCCAGCAGCCGCGGUAAUACGGAGGGUGCAAGCGUUAAUCGGAAUUACUGGGCGUAAAGCGCACGCAGGCGGUUGAUUGAGUCAGAUGUGAAAUCCCCGGGCUUAACCCGGGAAUUGCAUCUGAUACUGGUCAGCUAGAGUCUUGUAGAGGGGGGUAGAAUUCCAUGUGUAGCGGUGAAAUGCGUAGAGAUGUGGAGGAAUACCGGUGGCGAAGGCGGCCCCCUGGACAAAGACUGACGCUCAGGUGCGAAAGCGUGGGGAGCAAACAGG
rnacentral:rRNA from 1 species